rnacentral:rRNA from 1 species
GACGAACGCUGGCGGCGUGCCUAAUACAUGCAAGUAGAACGCAGUUGCGAACGGGUGAGUAACGCGUAGGUAACUGCCUCAUAGCGGGGGAUAACUAUUGGAAACGAUAGCUAAUACCCCAUACUGUGGGCUGGACCUGCGUUGUAUUAGCUAGGUGGUGAGGUAAAGGCUCACCAAGGCGACGAUACAUAGCCGACCUGAGAGGGGUAACGACCCAACUUGGAAUGGGAAACGGCCCAGACUCCUACGGGGGGCAGCAAGAGGGAAUCUUCGGAAAUGGGCGGAAUGCUGACCGAGCAAAGCCGGGGGAGUGAAGAAGGUUUUCGGGUCGUAAAGCUCUGUUGUUAGAGAAGCGGUAACUAAACAGAAAGGGACGGCUAACUACGUGCCAGCAGCCGCGGUAAUAC